rnacentral:tRNA from 1 species
GCGGGUAUGGUUCAGUGGUAGAACGAUUGCUUCCCAAGCAAUAAACGCGAGUCCGAUUCUCGCUACCCGCACCA